UAUGGUUGGGAGAUGUGCUGGAA
rnacentral:piRNA from 1 species